rnacentral:rRNA from 1 species
CAGUAGCCGCGGGAAUACGAAGGGUGCAAGCGUUACCCGGAUUUACUGGGCGUAGAGGGCGUGUAGGCGGCCUGGGGCGUCCCAUGUGAAAGGCCACGGCUCAACCGUGGAGGAGCGUGGGAUACGCUCAGGCUAGAGGGUGGGAGAGGGUGGUGGAAUUUCCGGAGUAGCGGUGAAAUGCGCAGAUACCGGGAGGAACGCCGAUGGCGAAGGCAGCCACCUGGUCCACUUCUGACGCUGAGGCGCGAAAGCGUGGGGAGCAAACCGGAUUAGAUACCCCUGUAGUCCCUGUCUCUUAUAC